AAAGUACCUCAACCAACGUACUAGACUAGAGCAGAGGUGGAAUUCGAACCUCCGCUGUUGGGCUCCAAAAGCGUCCUUGCAAGUGACCGGUUUAGGAGGAGGCGCCCCAGGAAGCUGCAGAACCCCACACUUGUGAGACCUCAUCUCACCGCAGCUCCAGAGAGGUGGCUCCCGCCAAGGAGCUGGACGAAGGCGAGACCCUCUGCGGCCGAGUGAAGGAUGAGCUGCUGGACUUGGAAAUGGUCGAAACCAAGCGGGAGGUGUGGCGAGGGCCCUGCUCUCCAGAGUCGUCCACACAUCGCCGCCUCAACAGUGCCGACUGACAGCUCACCGUCGGCUGGCGGGAGUCCGAGCUGCAGCGUCGAUCCCUCGGAUGAGGCAAGAGGGUUUCUAUGCAGUUGAGCAGCAGGGGAGGAUGCAGAGGUGCCGAGCUAGGAUGCCCUGAGAAAUGCCAGUCCUGCAGAGAAAUGAACCGCGCAGGUACUCGUGCUGAAGAUCACACUGGGUCAGGGCAUCUGAGCAGUGGGCGCUUUCUUUGUUGCACCUUCACUGGAGAUUCUUCUGAAUCGUUGAGAUUUGAGGAGGACAGCAGUCCCUACGUUCCGACAUGCCACCGAGCCUCUGCACGUCGUCAUGGCACAGGUCAGAUAGACCCAUUUUAGAGCGCCUUCGAAUCUCUGGAAAUGGCUGUGAAACAAAUUAAACGAUUCCUUCACCUUCAGUAUUUAUCUGGACAAAGCAGUUAAGCUCCUGUGUCCAGUCUGUCAAAUGAAAUCAGUUCCCAAGUAAGUGUGGAAUUAUUCAUACACAUUAAUGAUGUGGAAAGUAAUUAUACAAAGUAUACAGGCUUUACAAACAAGUUUGCUCACUCUUUAUUCCAUGGCCAUGAAUCGUUAUCAUUAUUUUGUGCUUUUUGUACACGUUCUUUGUGUGUUCUGCAGCAAGGUGGGGGAUCAUGAGGGGGCAAAUUCAUGGAAGUAAACUAGAGGGUGUGAAAUGGGGGUUUAAGAUGUGUAUGUGUGUGUGUGUGUGUUGAAGCUAGACCCAGCCUUCAGCAGCAAGCAGCUAAAAAAGAUUGAUGUGACUUGAGAGUGUCAUGUGUUCUCCAGCCCUGGGAGC